AUGUAGGGCAAUCUGUCUUUAAGUAGGGAUAAAUUACUCUUAAAGAAAAAAAAAUAGAAUUGUAGAUAGUUUUCCAUCCAAAUCAAGUGUCUUCU
rnacentral:pre_miRNA from 1 species